AGGGAUCAUUACAGUGGCGUUUACCGUCCAAACCAUGUGAAUACGUACCUUUCGUUGCCUCGGCGGGCGCUAAUAGCACUGGCCUUGUGCCUUGGCUGUAGCGUCAAGCCCGCCGGUGGCCCCCCAGACUCAGCUGCAUACUGUUCUCUCGAGUUAUAUUAAAUAAGUCAAAACUUUCAACAACGGAUCUCUUGGUUCUGGCAUCGAUGAAGAACGCGGCGAAAUGCGAUAAGUAAUGUGAAUUGCAGAAUUCAGUGAAUCAUCGAAUCUUUGGACGCACAUUGCGCCCGCCGGUAUUCCGGCGGGCAUGCCUGUUCGAGCGUCAUUUCAACCCUCAGGCCCUGCCUGGUGUUGGGACACCACUGCCGUGGGUCCUAAAAUUCAGUGGCGGGCGCGGCCCGGACCCNAGCGUAGUAGCUUACAUCGCUUAGGGUGCCGAGACGUGUCUCAGCCGUUAAACCCUUAUUUUACAAGGUUGACCUCGGAUCAGGUAGGAAUACCCGCUGAACUUAAGCAUAUCAAUAAGCGGAGGAAAAGAAACCAACAGGGAUUGCCCUAGUAACGGCGAGUGAAGCGGCAACAGCUCAAAUUUGAAAUCUGGCCCUAGGCCCGAGUUGUAAUUUGCAGAGGAUGCUUCGGGCGCGGCGCCUUCCAAGUCCCCUGGAACGGGGCGCCAGAGAGGGUGAGAGCCCCGUACUGUCGGACGCCAAGCCUGUGUGAAGCUCCUUCGACGAGUCGAGUAGUUUGGGAAUGCUGCUCAAAAUGGGAGGUAGACCCCUUCUAAAGCUAAAUACCGGCCAGAGACCGAUAGCGCACAAGUAGAGUGAUCGAAAGAUGAAAAGCACUUUGAAAAGAGGGUUAAAUAGCACGUGAAAUUGUUGAAAGGGAAGCGCUUGUGACCAGACUUGCACUGGGGCGAUCAUCUGGCGUUCUCGCCAGUGCACUCGCCCCAGUUCAGGCCAGCGUCGGUUCGCGCGGGGGGAUAAAGGCAUUGGGAACGUGGCUCCCCCGGGAGUGUUAUAGCCCAGUGUGUCAUGCCCUCGCGUGGACCGAGGUUCGCGCUC
rnacentral:rRNA from 1 species